GACCCCUGCACUGGAGCUCGGUGGCCGCCUGCGCUCCUCCCGCCGGCCGGCGCUCUAGCACCUUCCAAGCCUUGGAGCAGGGCCUGACGAUACGGAAUGAACGCGAGUGUUCCACGUUCUUUGCUAAACGUUGAGGAAUAAGCGGUGAAAAGGCCAGAGAAGAUCUUUGCCCUCUCGGGGUUCCGGUCUAGUGAGGGAGACCGACAUGCAGAUAAGUGACACAAACAUUAAUUUCAAGUAGUGACAAAUAUCAGAAAGAAAGGAACGGGUGAAACAAUAUUAGGAACGGAUUGUCAGAAAGGGCCUCUUCAAGGAGGGAAGUUUUAAACUGAGACUUGGAAAAGACAAGAAGCCAUUUUACUAGGAUUUGGGGGCAGAACUUCAUGCACAGGAAACAGAAUGAAUAAAGGCCCGGCCACCAGGAAGAGACUGAAAUGACACCUCUCUUGGGAGGGAAGGUAGGAGAUGACUGCAGGAGGGGAGGCUAGAAGGUGACAGUGCCCAGGACUGUGGUCUGAAGUUUCUCCUUGGCGUGUGGCAGAGGGUGGAGAAAGGAGGUUAUGAGGAUCGUUCACCCUUCCUCCUCUGGCCGUCCUGUGGGAUGUGGUCAGACACGAUCCCUUGCCUGGGUUGUAAAGACAGCACUCUGUGGCCUGCACCUCUGUCACCUCCUAGAGCACCUGUUUUUCUCUCCUCAACUAACAAAGUUCUGGACUAGUCAUGAAGAUCAGUACUACAGUCCCCACAGGCCACUGACCAGAACAAGUUUGGCUCAAAUCUUAAGGAGAAAAUGGAAAAAAGGCCUGGAGGGCCUAAAUCCUGCACCCUCUUAAGUACCCCACACUCCUGUGGGCAUGCCCAGGUGACAGGUUCCUGGCGAUGCUGAACUCCCUGGGACUAAACCACUCUUUACUGAGCACUUCUUGUGUGUUAAAAGUUAGUGCUGGGCUAAGUGGUCUUACAUAUAUAUUCUCUUACUUAUUUAAUCCUUUCACAAUCUUAGGAGGUAGUGAAUCAGUUAGGAUUCAGUUCAACUACGAAUAACGGAUCCAAAAGAGCAAGAUCUUAACCAAGAUGUAAGUGUAUUUCUCACGAUAACAUGCGCAGGUGGGCUGGAGGUAGGCAGCCUACGUCAGGACGAGUGUGGCGGGCCUAGCCUGCAGAGCCAGCACGGACCCAGGCCCUCACCUCACCAUCCCAAAACAAGGAGUAGCAUUGAACCAUACAUGCUCAUGUUUAAAUGUUUUUAUGUAUGUUUUUGAAAGACUGCAGGCAAGUGGGGGUGGGGCAGAGAGGGAGGGAGACAGGAUCCGAAGUGGGCUGUGCACCGAUAGCAGAGAACCUGAUGCCAGGCUCGAAACCACCAGCCGUUGAGAUGGUGACCUGAACUGGAGGCAGACACUUAACCGACUGAGGCCCCCAGGCGCCCCAAUACAUGCUAAUUUAAACAUUUUUUAUCAAAUGGGAAUACCAUGUACAAAUUGCAGAUGAAAGGAAUGAUUUCCUAGAGAAACUUUAAAAACUGUCAAAAUGGAGGCAGGAAGACAUGGAAAUUCUGAAUAGCCAGUAUCCCAUAGGGGAAAUAAUAAAAAUAAGUAUUUUUAUUUGUAUCUCUUUAA